rnacentral:rRNA from 1 species
AGAGUUUGAUCAUGGCUCAGAACGAACGCUGGCGGCGUGGAUAAGACAUGCAAGUCGGACGAGACUUUUCGUUGUAGCAAUACGAUGGAAAGUUUAGUGGCGAACGGGUGCUUAACACGUGGGCAACCUGCCAGGAAGUGGGGGAUAGCUCGCCGAAAGGCGAAUUAAUACCGCAUGUGAUUAGAGAGGACAUCCUUUCGAAAUUAAAGUCGGGGCAACCUGACGCUUCUUGUGGGGCCCGCGGCCUAUCAGCUAGUUGGUGAGGUAACGGCCCACCAAGGCUUUGACGGGUAGCUGGUCUGAGAGGACGACCAGCCACACUGGGACUGAGACACGGCCCAGACACCUACGGGUGGCAGCAGUCGAGAAUUUUUGACAAUGGGGGAAACCCUGAUCGAGCGACGCCGCGUGGAGGAUGAAGGUCUUCGGAUUGUAAACUCCUGUCAUUGGGGAACAAUGCACAGAUAUUAACUGUAUUUGUGUUGAUAGUACCCGAAGAGGAAGAGACGGCUAACUCUGUGCCAGCAGCCGCGGUAAUACAGAGGUCUCAAGCGUUGUUCGGAUUCAUUGGGCGUAAAGGGUGCGUAGGCGGCGCGGUAAGUCGGGUGUGAAAUCUCGGGGCUUAACUCCGAAACUGCAUUCGAUACUGCCGUGCUUGAGGACUGGAGAGGAGACUGGAAUUUACGGUGUAGCGGUGAAAUGCGUAGAUAUCGUAAGGAAGACCAGUGGCGAAGGCGGGUCUCUGGACAGUUCCUGACGCUGAGGCACGAAGGUCAGGGGAGCAAACGGGAUUAGAUACCCCCGUAGUCC